UUUCACAUCCUACCAUUAGGUGGCAGCAUACUCUAUUUUAAGGCAAUACUGCAGUUUCAGUGUUAAGAAGAACAGUAGACGACUUGCCUCCUCUGGGCUUGGAUGCUUUUAGAUUGACGUUGGAAUUAUUGAUACUGUAUCGACUUGACCAAUUACAAUACAAUGAUUCUUUUCUUUUAUAUCGGCUUCGAUUUUUUUCUCCUUUCAGGUUCAUCUCUCAGUGAUCAGGUCUUCCAGGUUCCUGAUCACAUCCUUAGAAAGCCGGGGGAAUCCGCCACCAUACGAUGCUCACACGCUAUUCCGAGCUACGACCGGGUCCUCUGGUACAAACAGUCGACCCAGCUCCAGUUCCUGGGGCACAUGUACAAAAACAUGGAUAAUCCCGAAGCUGGGCUGGGUGUGAAGCUGGGUGGGAACGCGGAGAAAGACCUGAACUGCACAUUAACGCUCGAAGUUCUCAACCCAAACAGCAGCGGGGUUUACUUCUGUGCCGCUCGCUACCACAGUGCUCCAACUUACUGCUCCUCAGUACUAAAACCUCCCCUUUGUUUCUAUUAUUAUUAUGGCUCACACAACUCAUUCUAA